rnacentral:rRNA from 1 species
GAUGAACGCUGGCGGCGUGCUUAACACAUGCAAGUCGAGCGAAGCACUUAAGUUUGAUUCUUCGGAUGAAGACUUUUGUGACUGAGCGGCGGACGGGUGAGUAACGCGUGGGUAACCUGCCUCAUACAGGGGGAUAACAGUUAGAAAUGACUGCUAAUACCGCAUAAGACCACAGGGUCGCAUGACCCGGUGGUAAAAACUCCGGUGGUAUGAGAUGGACCCGCGUCUGAUUAGCUAGUUGGUGGGGUAACGGCUCACCAAGGCGACGAUCAGUAGCCGACCUGAGAGGGUGACCGGCCACAUUGGGACUGAGACACGGCCCAAACUCCUACGGGAGGCAGCAGUGGGGAAUAUUGCACAAUGGGGGAAACCCUGAUGCAGCGACGCCGCGUGAAGGAUGAAGUAUUUCGGUAUGUAAACUUCUAUCAGCAGGGAAGAAAAUGACGGUACCUGACUAAGAAGC